rnacentral:ribozyme from 1 species
AAAGAAAGAAAGAAAGAAGGAAAGAAAGAAAGAAAGAAAAAAUACGUUGUUCACGCCCUCACUGAUAGAAUACCUCUCCGUUGUUGCUCGACGUGCUGUUUUUUAUUUUUUG